rnacentral:rRNA from 1 species
GACGAACGCUGGCGGCGUGCCUAAUACAUGCGAGUAGAACGCUGAAGCGAGGAGCUUGCUCUUCUUGGAUGAGUUGCGAACGGGUGAGUAACGCGUAGGUAACCUGCCUUGUAGCGGGGGAUAACUAUUGGAAACGAUAGCUAAUACCGCAUAACAAUGGAUGACCCAUGUCAUUUAUUUGAAAGGGGCAAAUGCUCCACUACAAGAUGGACCUGCGUUGUAUUAGCUAGUAGGUGAGGUAACGGCUCACCUAGGCGACGAUACAUAGCCGACCUGAGAGGGUGAUCGGCCACACUGGGACUGAGACACGGCCCAGACUCCUACGGGAGGCAGCAGUAGGGAAUCUUCGGCAAUGGGGGCAACCCUGACCGAGCAACGCCGCGUGAGUGAAGAAGGUUUUCGGAUCGUAAAGCUCUGUUGUAAGUCAAGAACGAGUGUGAGAGUGGAAAGUUCACACUGUGACGGUAGCUUACCAGAAAGGGACGGCUAACUACGUG